UUUGAAUUGUCACUUCAUGUAGAGCCAACGGAAGCGGUAGUAUUUUGAAUUUUUCUUUGCACUUUCAUGAUUUUAGGCAGUUAUAAACAUACUCCUUGGAAGUAUUUUAGCCGUACUUUAUUCUCUAUCAAGUGGAUACUCAAGUCUCGGUAACUACUGUAAGUGAAAACUCAAUCCAGUAAACUCAAUCAUAUUGUAGUAGGAAAGCAUUAAUGUUGUUUGAAGACGUAUCUGUGAAGGAACAGAAAAUUACAAGACUUACUAAAGCAAAAUUGAAACUCCGAAAAAUGUCAGUACAAGUUACUCAGUGAUUCAAUAUUUUAAACUAGACUUGUUCAACGGCAUAAUUCAUACUAAUUUAGCUUGGUACCAUCGGACAAGAAAAUGCAUGGUUUUGGACAGUUGCUGCUGCAAUAUCACAAAGAAUGCUGGUUUAUGCACACCUGUAACACAAAUGAUUCUUGAAUAUUGUUUUAUAUAA